GCACUCACUUUGAUAGCUCAUGUACUAAAACUGGAACAAUACAGAGAAGAUUAGCAUGGCCCCUGCACAUGAAGGACAUGCAAAUUCAUGAAGCGUUCUAUAUUUAA